rnacentral:rRNA from 1 species
AUUGAACGCUGGCGGCAGGCUUAACACAUGCAAGUCGAGCGGGGUGAUGGUGCUUGCACUAUCACUUAGCGGCGGACGGGUGAGUAAUGCUUAGGAAUCUGCCUAUUAGUGGGGGACAACAUCUCGAAAGGGAUGCUAAUACCGCAUACGUCCUACGGGAGAAAGCAGGGGAUCACUUGUGACCUUGCGCUAAUAGAUGAGCCUAAGUCGGAAUAGCUAGUUGGUGGGGUAAAGGCCUACCAAGGCGACGAUCUGUAGCGGGUCUGAGAGGAUGAGCCGCCACACUGGGACGGAGACACGGCCCAGACUCCUACGGGAGGCAGCAGUGGGGAAUAUUGGACAAUGGGGGGAACCCUGAUCCAGCCAUGCCGCGUGUGUGAAGAAGGCCUUAUGGUUGUAAAGCACUUUAAGCGAGGAGGAGGCUCUUUUGGUUAAUACCCAAGAUGAGUGGACGUUACUCGCAGAAUAAGCACCGGCUAACUCUGUGCCAGCCGCCGCGGUAA